rnacentral:rRNA from 1 species
CUUGACGACCAUAGAGCAUUGGAACCACCUGAUCCCAUCCCGAACUCAGAAGUGAAACGAUGCAUCGC